rnacentral:tRNA from 1 species
GGAGAGGUGCUGGAGUGGCCGAACAGGGCGCACUGCUAAUGCGUUACCUGGGUAAAACCGGGUCGAGGGUUCGAAUCCCUCCCUCUCCGCCA